ACGCUGGCGGCGUGCCUAAUACAUGCAAGUAGAACGCCGAAGGAGGAGCUUGCUUCUCUGGAUGAGUUGCGAACGGGUGAGUAACGCGUAGGUAACCUGCCUGGUAGCGGGGGAUAACUAUUGGAAACGAUAGCUAAUACCGCAUAAUAUUGAUUAUUGCAUGAUAGUCAAUUAAAAGGUGCAAUUGCAUCACUACCAGAUGGACCUGCGUUGUAUUAGCUAGUUGGUGAGGUAACGGCUCACCAAGGCAACGAUACAUAGCCGACCUGAGAGGGUGAUCGGCCACACUGGGACUGAGACACGGCCCAGACUCCUACGGGAGGCAGCAGUAGGGAAUCUUCGGCAAUGGACGGAAGUCUGACCGAGCAACGCCGCGUGAGUGAAGAAGGUUUUCGGAUCGUAAAGCUCUGUUGUAAGAGAAGAACGAGUGUGAGAGUGGAAAGUUCACACUGUGACGGUAUCUUACCAGAAAGGGACGGCUAACUACGUGCCAGCAGCCGCGGUAAUACGUAGGUCCCGAGCGUUGUCCGGAUUUAUUGGGCGUAAAGCGAGCGCAGGCGGUUAGAUAAGUCUGAAGUUAAAGGCUGUGGCUUAACCAUAGUACGCUUUGGAAACUGUUUAACUUGAGUGCAAGAGGGGAGAGUGGAAUUCCAUGUGUAGCGGUGAAAUGCGUAGAUAUAUGGAGGAACACCGGUGGCGAAAGCGGCU
rnacentral:rRNA from 1 species